rnacentral:rRNA from 1 species
GGAUUAAUACCCCAUAGUAUCCCAGAGAGGCAUCUCUUUGGGAUUAAAGAUUUAUCACUUGAAGAUGGCUGUGCGGCUGAUUAGGUAGUUGGCGGGGUAACGGCCCACCAAGCCUACGAUCAGUAACUGGUGUGAGAGCACGACCAGUCACACGGGCACUGAGACACGGGCCCGACUCCUACGGGAGGCAGCAGUAAGGAAUAUUGGUCAAUGGACGAAAGUCUGAACCAGCCAUGCCGCGUGAAGGAUGAAGGUCCUCUGGAUUGUAAACUUCUUUUAUAUGGGACGAAAAAAGGCCUUUCUAGGUCACCUGACGGUACCAUAUGAAUAAGCACCGGCUAACUCCGUGCCAGCAGCCGCGGUAAUACGGAGGGUGCAAGCGUUAUCCGGAUUCACUGGGUUUAAAGGGUGCGUAGGUGGGCAGGUAAGUCAGUGGUGAAAUCCCCGAGCUCAACUUGGGAACUGCCAUUGAUACUAUCUUUCUUGAAUACCGUGGAGGCUAGCGGAAUAUGUCAUGUAGCGGUGAAAUGCUUAGAUAUGACAUAGAACACCGAUUGCGAAGGCAGCUGGCUACACGGAUAUUGACACUGAGGCACGAAAGCGUGGGGAUCAAACAGGAUUAGAUACCCUGGUAGUCCACGCCCUAAACGAUGGAUACUCGACAUAUGCGAUACACUGUAUGUGUCUGAGCGAAAGCAUUAAGUAUCCCACCUGGGGAGUACGACCGCAAGGUUGAAACUCAAAGGAAUUGGCGGGGGUCCGCACAAGCGGUGGAGCAUGUGGGUUUAAUUCGAUGAUACGCGAGGAAC